rnacentral:rRNA from 1 species
AUGCACGCUGGCGGCGUGCCUCAUACAUGCAGGUCGAGCGCACAGACGAGGAGCUUGCUCCUCUGACGUUAGCGGCGGACGGGUGAGUAACACGUGGAUAACCUACCUAUAAGACUGGGAUAACUUCGGGAAACCGGAGCUAAUACCGGAUAAUAUAUUGAACCGCAUGGUUCAAUAGUGAAAGACGGUUUUGCUGUCACUUAUAGAUGGAUCCGCGCCGCAUUAGCUAGUUGGUAAGGUAACGGCUUACCAAGGCAACGAUGCGUAGCCGACCUGAGAGGGUGAUCGGCCACACUGGAACUGAGACACGGUCCAGACUCCUACGGGAGGCAGCAGUAGGGAAUCUUCCGCAAUGGGCGAAAGCUUGACGGAGCAACGCCGCGUGAGUGAUGAAGGUCUUCGGAUCGUAAAACUCUGUUAUUAGGGAAGAACAAAUGUGUAAGUAACUAUGCACGUCUUGACGGUACCUAAUCAGAAAGCCACGGCUAACUACGUG